UACCAGCACCCCGAGUGGUCGGGACGAUUAUUGGGCCUAAAGCCUCCGUAGCCGGUUCUACAAGUCUUCUGUUAAAUCCACCUGCUUAACAGAUGGGCUGCGGAGGAUACUAUAGAGCUAGGAGGCGGGAGAGGCAAGCGGUACUUAGUGGGUAGGGGUAAAAUCCGUUGAUCCAUUGAAGACCACCAGUGGCGAAGGCGGCUUGCCAGAACGCACUCGACGGUGAGGGAUGAAAGCUGGGGGAGCAAACCGG
rnacentral:rRNA from 1 species